rnacentral:rRNA from 1 species
ACCCAGGGAACUGAAACAUCUAAGUACCUGGAGGAAGAGAAAGAAAAAUCGAUUUCCUGAGUAGCGGCGAGCGAAACGGAAAGAGCCCAAACCAAGAAGCUUGCUUCUUGGGGUUGUAGGACACUCUAUACGGAGUUACAAAAGAAAGUUAUAAAUGAAGCGGUCUGGAAAGGCCCGCCAAAGACGGUAACAGCCCGGUAGUUGAAAUAGCUUUCCCUCCAGAGUGGAUCCUGAGUACGGCGGAACACGUGAAAUUCCGUCGGAAUCCGGGAGGACCAUCUCCCAAGGCUAAAUACUCCCUAGUGACCGAUAGUGAACCAGUACCGUGAGGGAAAGGUGAAAAGCACCCCGGAAGGGGAGUGAAACAGUUCCUGAAACCGUGUGCCUACAAGUAGUUAGAGCCCGUUAAUGGGUGAUAGCGUGCCUUUUGUAGAAUGAACCGGCGAGUUACGAUUUGUUGCAAGGUUAAGCGGAAAAAGCGGAGCCGUAGCGAAAGCGAGUCUGAAUAGGGCGCAUAAGUAACAGGUCGUAGACCCGAAACCAGGUGAUCUACCCAUGUCCAGGAUGAAGGUAAGGUAAUACUUACUGGAGGUCCGAACCCACGCACGUUGAAAAGUGCGGGGAUGAGGUGUGGGUAGCGGAGAAAUUCCAAUCGAACUUGGAGAUAGCUGGUUCUCUCCGAAAUAGCUUUAGGGCUAGCCUCGAGGUAAAGAGUCAUGGAGGUAGAGCACUGUUUGGACUAGGGGCCCUUCUCGGGUUACCGAA